UACGUAGGGUGCAAGCGUUUGUCCGGAAUUAUUGGGCGUAAAGAGCUCGUAGGCGGUCUGUUGCGUCGGCUGUGAAAACCCGGGGCUCAACCCCGGGCCUGCAGCCGAUACGGGCAGACUAGAGUGUGGUAGGGGAGACUGGAAUUCCUGGUGUAGCGGUGAAAUGCGCAGAUAUCAGGAGGAACACCGAUGGCGAAGGCAGGUCUCUGGGCCACUACUGACGCUGAGACGCGAAAGCGUGGGGAGCAAACAGG
rnacentral:rRNA from 1 species